AUCCGGCUGACGAGUUCAAAAUAGGACGAAACAGGCCUGUUGGAU
rnacentral:hammerhead_ribozyme from 1 species